rnacentral:lncRNA from 1 species
GUCGACUCAAAUCACAAUUGAGUUGACUCUGCAGGCUUAGUUGCAACUAAUUGCAUGCAAUCAGAUCAUGAAAUUUAUACAUAAUGCAAAAGCAAAAUAAAUCAUAAAUCUUCUUAGAUCUGAUCUAAACUUAUUUAUGAUUACAAAUUUAAUGAUUAAAAUAAUUUUAAUACUCUUUUCGCUAUUCUUCUUCAUGAGAUG